rfam:Ictidomys tridecemlineatus contig002579, whole genome shotgun sequence.
CGAGUUGUAGCUCAGUGGUAGAGUGCUCGCCUUGCAUGUGGAGGGCACUGGGUUCGAUCCUCAGCACCACAC